rnacentral:tRNA from 1 species
GUUGUGGCUUAUGGGUAGAGUGCUUGCCUAGCAUGCGUGAGAUACUGCGUUCAAUUCCCAGCACAACA